rnacentral:rRNA from 1 species
GCUCAGAAUGAACGUUGGCGGCAGGCUUAACACAUGCAAGUCGAACGAAAAGUUACUUUCGGGUAAUGGAUUCGUGGCGGACGGGUGAGUAUAACAUAGAGAUCUACCGAGCAGUGGGGGAUAACAGUUGGAAACGACUGAUAAUACCGCAUACGCCAUAUUGGGAAAACGAUAGUGCUGUUCGAUGAGUCUAUGCCAGAUUAGCUAGUUGGUGGGGUAAAAGGCCCUACCAAGGCGACGAUCUGUAGCUGGUUUGAGAGGAUGAUCAGCCACACUGGGACUGAGACACGGCCCAGACUCCUACGGGAGGCAGCAGUGAGGAAUAUUGCACAAUGGAGGAAACUCUGAUGCAGCCAUGCCGCGUGAAU